CUUGCCGUCGCUCUCGCUGGCUGUGACUCGCUCCAUUGGAUUCUCUGUCCCCCGUGCCAUCCUGCCGCGCCGCUUGCACGACUUCCCGCCUCCUUGCGCCGUUCUCUCGACCUCAUCAGACUUCGCACGAGGCGCCGUUCAGCGACGAAACGUUGCGAUUUACGGACGCUUCGCGCGCGGGAACAGGCGGACUGACGCAGCUCGUCGCCAAGGAAGAACUUUGG
rnacentral:misc_RNA from 1 species